rnacentral:rRNA from 1 species
AUUGAACGCUGGCGGCGUGCCUAACACAUGCAAGUCGAGCGGCAGCGCGGGAGCAAUCCUGGCGGCGAGCGGCGGACGGGUGAGUAACGCUUGGGAAUCUGCCUGUUAGUGGGGGACAACCCGGGGAAACUCGGGCUAAUACCGCAUACGCACUACGGUGGAAAGCCGGGGACCGCAAGGCCUGGCGCUAACAGAUGAGCCCAAGUCGGAUUAGCUAGUUGGUAGGGUAACGGCCUACCAAGGCGACGAUCCGUAACUGGUCUGAGAGGACGACCAGUCACACCGGAACUGAGACACGGUCCGGACUCCUACGGGAGGCAGCAGUGGGGAAUAUUGGACAAUGGGGGAAACCCUGAUCCAGCGACGCCGCGUGAGGGAUGACGGCC